GCAUUGCAUGAAUGCAAUGAGUUGAUUUUGCUCACAAAAGGGACCUUGUAUUUUUCUGAAUGUUUCUGCAGGAGGCCGUGAACGUGUCCCUCGCCAACCUCAAGACUUACCCCUUCGUCAAGGAACGGCUGGCCAAAGGGACCCUCAAGCUGGUCGGCGCCCACUACGACUUCGUGUCCGGGAAGUUCCUCACAUGGGAGCCUGUAGGGUUCAUAACCUUCAUCCUUACAUUUUCAAUUGUACAUACUGUAUCUGAGACCACAUGGUUUUACCUCCUGGCACACUCCAGAUCCAAACUUCCUAUCCAUUUUCUCUCCUUCCUUGCCAUCGCAAUUAAUUUCUUUCUAAGAAGAACAAAAUCACCACCAAAUCCAACCACAACACUUGAAAUCCGCCCCAUGCAUAGCACUUGAAACCAGCCCCAACAUCUUAAUUGACCUACUUCUCAUCUUCUUCGGAUAUAAGAAGAUUGAACCCUAUCUCCACCGCAAAUACAUAUAUCGCGUUCACCCGCUACAAACUUCUAGUCCAGUUGUCGCCUGGUCCUCUAUCCGCUUCAAUUAGGCUUGCCGUUGCAUCGAAUUUCUAACCUCGUUGGUGCACCAGGCUCGUCUGUGGUGAUGGAUAUGAGGCCAUGGCCAUCGAGGUCCAUCUACCACAAAGAUGCCACUGCCUUUUUCCAUGGCCACCAUGGUUUGCCGAAUCAGUUGUCCCCCGAGGAAGCAAUCAUCAUGUUGGAGUCGUUCUUCUCUACAAAACGUGCUCAAGUAGCCAUCGACAUUCCGCUUAAGCGAUAUAUAUUGUCCACAAAAGCUGUGCUUGACCGUUACUCAUUUUUCAUCAAAUCCCGCGUUGUGCGGUGUCUCUUUCUCUCACUAAAACGAUUGCACAUGUCAUCAUGUUGAUGUUGCUAGUAAUCUAGACAAUGGGGCAGCUCAAAAGGUGAACGAGAGAGAUAUAGAGAGAAAGGGAGGGAGGGAGGGCCACACCGCAUCUAUCCAUCUGACUAUAAGGGGGCAAAAGAAGAAAAGAGGAGAAGAUGAGAAGUUGCAUUUGCCUCCCUGUUAUAUAUCAAAGGAGGGUCAAUGAAGCCGUCCAUAGAUUCCCACACCUCGUCACUCCUUGAGAACCAGAAGCCCACCCCAUCCAGUCCAAGGUCCGUUCCCUCAUCCUCCUCCCUCACCCUCGCCAUCAUCCUUCACAUAGCACACACAGUAAUCUUUGUCCGUCCCUCUGUUUUCUUUUCCUCUAUUGCCAUCAUGAGCCUGCAACUUCUGCUUUCUCCCUAUGUUGUAUUGUGUUGGUGCAAAGAAGAUCCAUCUUCCCCUUUUUGAUCAUAUUUUAUGCAUGCUUUCCUUAUGGUCCGUGGCAAGGAGGCCAAGCAUUGGCAUCAUGCCCCUUCUAUCUCUCUCUACCCCCUCAUGCCCCUUCUCUUUCUCUCUCUACCCCCGUCAUGCUGCAUCACGAUCAUGAGUAUGCAAGUUGGUCUUUCCGGGAUGGCAAAAUGACCGAUGGUUUUCUGGUUGUUGGUCUUGUAGGUGAUGGACGCCGUUGACCGCUUGAAGAGCGGGUUCGAGCAGUUCAAGAUCGAGGUCUAUGAGUAAGUCAUCUCUCUACUUAGAGCUGUUGUUUUUUUAAUUUGUAGCACCCAUGUUUGGUUUAAUAUUUUCAGUUUCAACCACUUGAUUUAUUUUGGGAAUUCUGAGAGCUCCGACUGAUACUGCCAUGUUGUCUUUUUUCUGCAGCAAGAAGCCAGAGCUUUUUGAGCCUCUCAAAUCUGGCCAGGCCCCCAGGGUAUGUGUAGGGAUGAAAAUGGAUCAAAUUUGUAUAGAAUCAAAUCCAUAUAUCACCUCUUAACACAUUUUUAUUCAAAUUCAGUUAUUGGAUACAUAUACUUUUGAAUACAAAUAUAAAACAAAUGUCUUGAAUCUGUAUUUCUAUUCAAAGAUUUACUCAAUUCAACUCAAAUUGUAUAUUGCUAAAUUCAACGUACAUGUAUACAAUUUUACUACUAAAUUCAUCGAUAAACCUUUUUUGCUUUAUCAAUUUUUUAGGUUUACAAACUAUUAUAUUGAAACAUUUGUGUAUAUAAUUUAAAAUGAAUGGUGACAGCUUGUCGCCAUUAGCGGCCAAUUGGCAAGUACUAGUAGUAGUCUGUUGGAUAUAAUCCCUCCAUCCUAAAUAUAUGCAGAAAUCAUCUAUUGAGGAGUAAUUCUUUUUUUCAGUUUAACUAAAAGUAUAAUUUAUUUCGAAAAAAUACUAAAUGCUCAAUCUAAUGAUAUUUAUUAUACACUAUAAACAUUAAUAUAUUUUUAAUAUAAAUAUAAUUAAAAUUUAAAAAUUUGAAGUUUCAUAAAGCGAGAUGUACAGUUAUUUUGGGACAAAAGAAAUAGUCCUAUAAUUAUUUUGUACUACAAAAGUCUGCUCCAUAGGGCACAAGCUUCAACUUUGGCACUACUAGUCAUAGGCUCAUUGCGCAAAGAAAUGGUGGUGGGAGUGGGAUACAUACAUGCUCCUUCUUUUCCCGAUCGAUCGACCUGAUGCUGAUUAUUUUCCUCUGCUGCAUGCAUGCAGUACAUGGUGUUCGCCUGCGCUGACUCCCGUGUGUGCCCGUCGGUGACCCUGGGCCUGAUGCCCGGCGAGGCCUUCACCGUCCGCAACAUCGCCGCCCUGGUCCCAGGCUACGACAAGGUACGUACACACUGACCGUCGUCGCCGACGACACAAAAUGGCCGUCUAUUUCUCCUCGGCCCGGCCGGCCGCCGCCGGCCGGGCAUGACAGAGGAUCGAGGACUGACACGGCCGCGCCUUUCGUAUUCGUCACCUGCAGACCAAGUACACCGGCAUCGGGUCCGCCAUCGAGUACGCCGUGUGCGCCCUCAAGGUGCAGGUGCUCGUCGUCAUUGGCCAUAGCUGCUGCGGUGGCAUCAGGGCGCUCCUCUCCCUCCAGGACGGUGCACCUGACAACUUGUAAGACGCCACCGUAAAAUAUACAAAGUUUCAUUAAGAUAAAACAAAAAUUCUUUUGUACCUCUAUGAUGAUUUUGAUCCCAGCGCAUUUUUAUCUGUUGUUUUUUUUGUGGUGUAUCCAGCCACUUUGUUGAGGACUGGGUCAAGAUUGGCUUCCCUGCCAAGAUGAAGGUGAAGAAAGAGAACGCUUCGGUGCCGUUCGAUGACCAAUGCUACAUUCUAGAGAAGGUAUGUACACCGUACAUGCACGAGCAGUUAGUUGCUGCAUGAAUGGAUUAAUUUUUGCUCACCGGAGAACCUUGUAUUUCUGAAAAUGUUUCUGCAGGAGGCCGUGAAUGUGUCCUUGGAGAACCUCAAGACCUACCCAUUCGUCAAGGAAGGGCUGGCCAACGGUACCUUAAAGCUGGUCGGCGGCCACUAUGACUUCGUGAAAGGAGAGUUCCUCACAUGGAAAGUCUAGAGCUAAGGCACCCGGACGGCCCAACUCCUACAUCAUCAUAAAUUUAUACCACAUAUAUACCUACCGAUAUGCACCCGAUCGAUGCGAAUGCGCGGAGUACUACAUGCAUGUUUUCAGCAACUACAUAUAUACAUACCGGAUCGCCCCAAUGUGAAUGUAAUAAGCAAUAGCAUUUUCAACCGCUUUCAUUUCUAACGCCGAGCUUUUAUGUACUAUAUAUAUAAUAUGAUGCAUAAUUGACCGGCUUGUGGUCAAAAGACAUCAACUAUAAUCCUUUUUUCAUAAUAUUGUUAUGAAGAGUUUACCUCUUUUUUUUGUCAUUAACGGAUCCAGAGAAACAGGCCAGGAGGGCAACACGCCAACACCCUCCGUCCUAAAAUAGAGUGCAUUCUGACAUUUAAGAUGUGUCCCAAAAUAUAGUACAUUCAAGGAACAUGAAGAUAAUAUUUACUUAAAUAAAGUUACGGAAGAGGAAAGUAAUUGAGUGCUUACUAUAUUUUCUAUAAGAAAACUUAGAUUGCAACCUUUAAUCAUACGAAUAAGAUCAUAUUUCAAUAUAUUAGAAAGUUAAGUGAGUAGUACAUGCGUCUAUUGUUUUUUCUCUCUCUCUCUUAUUUUGUCUUAAAUAGCCAUAACGCACUGUAUUGCAGAGCGGAGGGAGUACUUUGGAAGCAUCAAGAGCAAAAUCCAAGGAUGGAAAGCCCCAUAUGAACAACUAAGAUGAUAACUAGAAAUCAUACUCGCCAUACACGAGUACUUUGGAAGCAAGAAGAGCAAAAAUCCAAGGAUAGAAAGCCCCAUAUAAACAACUAAGAUGAUAACCAGAAUUCAUACUCGCCAUACACCAAUAGAUCUAACAAACAGCACUCAAUUCAAAAUGCUUAAUUAGACAAUACAUCAUUAAUGAUAGAAAGGUACUUAAUAAAUAGCUUCCGAUAAUUAAAUGAUCAAAUAUGUUUCACAAUUUCACACCACUUGAACAAGCAUCCUCCAAUCUACAUACAAAAUAAAAUAUCAUGGUUCUUCAAACAACAUGAUAAUAUUAUGGAUUGAAAUGAACUUAUACAACACACACCUUGGUCCCUUGUGUGGCAAAUUUAUCUACAAAUUCUUAAGACCUGUAAGCGGUUACACACUGUCCACACAUGUUCUACGCUUUAAUCAAUUUGAUUGGUUAUCAAACCAUUAUUGAACAAAACCUCUUGAUUAACUUUUAGUUUUACUCUCUUUUGUUGUUCUUUUAGUUUUACCCUCUUUCGUCUAGAGACGACGACUCCUUUCCCUAUUUCUCGCGAGGAUUCCUCUAUUAGGGGACAGAGAUAAGACCAAAUUAACCCCCAUAGGUAACUAAACAGAACCAAAUCUAUCCACUUGUAUCUACUGGGGCUGGGGCCGGGAAGCUUUCCUCGUACCUGCUCCUUGUCAAGCCCUCUUUAGCCGACUCUUCAUCUAGCUAUCAAUCUGACACAAUUGCAUCCAUCCAUCUUUGAUUCUUAUCUUAUACUAGAUAAUGGCUCGUGUAUUGUUGUGCACACACAAAAUUUUAAUCGAAUAACUUUUUUUACCAAAAUGAACUAAAAUAAACUUUUAUAUAGGUAUAAAAUUUAAAUUCAGCAUGACAUAGAAUUACCUAUAUUUCAAGUUUUGAGAUCCUUUGCAAUUGAAAAAAAAGGUAUUACACUUUAAUAAACCGUACGUAUCCACAUAUUGUGUUUUGGUGGGGUUCGAAGCAGAAUCCAUGGUGACCUUUGUGUUACAAGCAUUUUAACACCGACCUAGAUAUCAAAAAUCAAGUCCAAAAUAGUAAAAUUGACCAUAACAGUUGGAAUAAAAACGCAGCUUUAGCUUGAAAUAACUUGCAGGUAUUCAUGAUCAGAUUGAUCAAGAUAUUCAUGAUCAAGGAACGCACAAGGAAAAUGCUGAGUACAACCAAACUUGUACAGUUGUACUUAAGUAACAAUGACCUAUACAAUUGACUUAUACCAUUGACUUUUACCUGUACAGUUGCAAUCAAGUAUGGUACUUAUUUGAAAACAUAGCAAUCCAUUUCAAUGUAAAUGUAUUGAACCUUGAAAAAUAAUUUCGAGGAUUACAUAGUACAACAUAGACGUCUACAACAUGCACGCAUACUCACACUAAUGAAUACACAUACGCAAACCAUACUCAUAUGAGCAUCUCCGAAGAAUUAAGCUGACAGAUCAUCUCGAGAUUCACAAAGUCAUUAAAGGCGUCUCGUUCUCGACGGGGACGUCACCUACCACUGGAAACAUAGCGUCGUUAAAUCUUGAAAUAAAUUUAGAAAAACAUGAGCACCCAUGCUAAGUCGACGAGGUGUUUGGGACUGCUCUGCUCCACUUUUUUCAGCUCCGCUCCACGUUUUUUAGCCAAACGGUUUCAGCUCCACGCACUGAGUUCGAGAAAAAAAAGUGGAGUUGUGAGAGCACCUAAAGAGGUACUCCACGAACUCCAGUUUUUUGUAGAGCUACUUCAUAGUGGAGUUUGUGAAGCAGAGUUCGUGGAGCAGUGCCAAACACCCCCUUAAACCUAGAUGGACAAGUUAACGUGAAAAAAUAGUUUAAUUUGCACUCCAGUCUUAUAGAUUUUUUUUGCGAGGACCAAUCUUAUAGAUCUAUAGUAAUUGAUUUUAUCUAGACAAUGUCUAAUAUUGCCACGUAGAACAAAUUAGCACCACCAGCAGAGAAACUUUAGAAAGAAGAUAUAUAAAUCAUAAGUUAUUCUAACUUUUUAAGUCAAAGCAUAUUAGUUGACCAAUUUUAUAGAAAAAUCUUAAAAGUUUUAUGAUAUUAAAUAGGUAUAUUAUAAAAAUAUAAUUAAUAAAAAUUUUAAUAAUACUUAUUUAAUAUUAUAAAGGUUUUAUAUUAUAUAAUAAAUUUUGUUAGAUUUGAGGUGAGUUGGAAUAAGUUAUAAUUUAGAAUGGAUAUUGUAGCUAGUAGAAGUACUCCCUCUAUUCUUGAAAGAUACAAUUUCUAGAGUUGUCUUAAAUCAAACUUUUAAAACUUUAACCGAAUUUCUAGAAAAAAGGUUAAGAUUUAUAGUAGUAAAUUGAUACCAUUAGAUCUAUCAUAGAAUAUAUUUUUAUAAAAUACUUAUUUUAUGAUAUAAAUAUUGAUGCUUUUUUGUAAAGAUCAUUAAAUUUUAAAAAAAUUAACCAACACGAAUUCUAGAAGUUGAAACUUUCAAUAAGGUCUUGUUUAGUUCACCCCAAAAACCAAAAUCUUUUCAAGAUUCCCCGUCACAUCGAAUCUUAUGGUACAUGCAUGGAGUAUUAAAUAUAGAUAAAAAUAAAAACUAAUUGUACAGUUUACCUGUAAAUCACGAGAUGAAUCUUUUAAGCCUAGUUACUCUACGAUUGGAUAAUGUUUGUCAAAUAAAAACGAAAAUACUACAGUUCCGAAAAUUUUUCAGUUUUCGAAACUAAACAAGGGCUAAAGAGUAGUGUUUAUGACAAAAGGAAAAAAAAAAAGAUCGGCACUUGGCACCCGGCCACCCGCCCUCCACCCUAGGCCCGACGCGACCCGACCCCCACCUAGACCGGUCUCGGUCGGACUCUCGGCGUCUCUCGCCACGCGCGGGCGCGCCGCAAACAGUCCUCCGCCCGCCGUCGUACCACCCCCACCCGUGCUUCCUCCGUCGGUUGGCUGCAACAAGUCGGCAGCGCCGCGCCCGCCUCCCGACGCCCCAAGCCCCCAAUCGCUCCUCCUCCAUUUCCCACCCAUCCAGAAGUCCGCCGGCGCAGAGGGACCAGGGUUCGCCGCCAGCAGAUGCAGUUGCAGGAGCAGGGUUCGCCGCCAGCGCCAGUAGACGCAGGAGCUCGGCGGAUCCACAUCGGAGGCGAGCUGAUCCUCUACAGAAGGUGCCCCGCUGCUCCUCCCGUAGUCCUGCUGCUCCCGUAUUUGAUUAAUUUCUCCGGCUGCGAAUCGACUCAUGGGGGAAGAAACAGUUUUAGACGACAACGCCCUGGCUUUCUCGGCGGGUACGUAAUCCCCGUCCAGGGACGGGGAUGGGGAUGGGGUGAAAGUGAAAAACCCUCCCCUGCGAGGUUUUACGGGGACGAGGACGGGGAUGGGGAAGCGUUCCCCGACGGCGAAUUUCCCGUUGCCAUCCGCUCGUCUGUGAUGCUGGAUACGACGAGGCCAUGGCCAUCGAGGCCCAUCUACCACAACGACGACGGCACUGCCUUUCUUCCAUGGCCACCCGUGGUUUCGCUGAAUCAGUGGUCCCAAACUGUCAUUUUGGAGUCGUUAUUUCUCCUCCUCCAAAACGCGAGGAGUAGCCAUCGACAUUCCGCUCGCUCAGGCGUUUAAUUUUGUCCACAAAAGCCGGGAUCAGCCGUUACUGGGCGUCUCUUUCUCUCGCUGAAACGAUUGCACGUGUCCUGUUGCUAGUAAUAAACUGGACAACGAGCGGGGCAGCUCAACAAGAGGCACAGCCAAACGAGAGAGAGAGAGAGGAGAGGAGAAAGGGAGGGAGGGCCGCCGCGCAUCCAUCCGUCCGGAGAUAAGAGGGGAGUGGAAGAAAAGAGGAGAAGAUGAGCAGCUGACUUUGCCUCCCCCGUUAUAAAAGGGAGGAGGGGGCAGGGAGGAAGCCGUCCAUAGAUUCCUCCGCCUCGUCACUCCACUCCUUGAGAUUUGAGAACCACAAGGGCCACCCCCCACCCACCCUCCAAGGUCCGUCCCCUCCUCCUCCUCCUCCUCCCUCACCUUCAGCACCAUCCUCUCCAUUCCUCCACACAGCAAUAUCUGUCAAUCCCCCCCGUUUUGUUUUCCUCUGUUGCAAUCAGUAGCGUGUACCCUGUAGCUGUAGCUUCCACUUUCUUGCUGUGUCGUACUGUGAUGGUGCAAAGAAGAUUCCUGUUCCCCCUUUUAGAUCACCUUUGUGCAUGCCUUUUCUUGUGGUCCGUGGGCAAGGAAGGAGGCCGAAAAUUGCAUCAAUGCCCCUCCCUUCUCUCUCUGUCUAUACCCCCUCAUACUGCAUCACGAUCAAGAGCAUGUAUGCAAGUUGGUCUUUCUAGGGAUGGCGAACUGACCGGCGAUUUUCUGGUUAUUCGUCCUGCAGGACAUGGCGGACGCCGUCGACCGCUUGAAGACCGGGUUCAACAAGUUCAAGACCGAGGUCUAUGAGUAAGUCAUCUCUCUACUCGAUCAGAGAGCUGUUGCUUUCUGCAGCCCCGGCGUUUGGUUUAAUCGUUUCAGUUUCAACCCCAUGGUGCUUGCUUUUUUUUUUGGGGGGAACUCUGAGAGCUCCGACUGAUCCUGUGCCUGCUUGAUUUUUGUUUUUUUCGCAGCAAGAAGCCGGAGCUGUUCGAGCCUCUCAAGGCCGGCCAGUCCCCCAAGGUAUGUGCUACUGCCAUACUUCGCUCUCUUCUCACCUCCCUUGUACGCCGCUAAGUUUUUCGUCUCUAGCGACUCCGGCCGGCCAGUUUUCGGUUAUCUGUCGUACUCGUAGGUGCUGCUGCUCCCGUGAUCCUCAGCACAGAUCCUGGAUGGUUAAUUAGACAAAACCGUGUUCAGUAAAUUCGGAUUUUCCGUGGGCCUCUGGGCAACGUCCGACUGGCCCACAGAUUUGGUGCUACUCUUGCUUGCUGGUUGCCCAUCUGCCUCAGAGAACCGCGUCGCUGCUAGUACUAGGCUCUGUAGCUCAUCAGUAUCCCUGCAUUGCAAUGCACUAUUCAUCGUCCACCCUGUCGUGUCCCUGGGUGCGCACGCAGCCACGCCGGUAAGGUGAGGUCAAAGUUGCAGUAGACAAAAGGAAACCUUUGUGCCGGUACCGAGGUCAAAGUUGCAGUAGACAAAAGGAAACGGAUUGUCCUAAUUGCACGGCUUAAAACUGAGGUGACAGCUUGUCGCCAUUAUAUUAGCGGCCAAUUGGCAAGUAGUUCUGUUUGGAUAUACUACAUAACUAGUCCUAUAAUUGCUUUGUGCAACAGUGCAAGUCUGCACCAUAGGGCACAAGCUUCAGCUUUGGCACUACCAGUCAUAGCGCAAAAGAAAUGGUGUAGUGGGAUAUACAUGCAUGCUUGCAAAGCAAAAUCCUUCACAGCUCCCACCGGCCACCACUGUGCCGGGCACUAACCCCAUGUGCGGCAUGCUAGCUGGUGAUUUGCAUUUGUUUGGUAAAUUAUUGAGAUGUCGCCGUCCCUAUAUAGGCUCACUUUGCAGAUGACGGAUAUAGUAGUACGUUAGUAUUAGUAUAUUGAUUUUCCUUCAGUUGACUAGUAUAAACCUGGUGCAAGAAUCUUGCAAGUACAGAGUUUAUUGUUUUAAUUUAUAGGAGUUUUGAGCUGGCAUCGAUCCCAUGCGCCUAAUUAGUAAAUACUUCAUGAAAUGCAUGCAUGCAUGGUAUAGCUAGCUGGUUCUACUGGUUUUUCCUACCCAUGAAAAUUACUAGUAGUCAAAUAUUCUUUGUAGUAAAGGAGAAGAUAAAAGCAGUCUAAUUUGGCGUACUCAGUCUGUGGAAAACAAAGAACUACUCUGCACAUUGUUUGAAUUAUAAUGGUCACUUCCACCUACUAGCCGUGUUGAAUUCUUUUUUUGAACAUAUGGUCACUUUCAUCAUUACAUUUGAAGGGGCAGCAACAGAUGGUGGUGACCAGCCAUUUCAGAUGUCUCAUCAUUUCGAUUUUUUUGUUUGACACUCACAUACACAACACAAACACAAAGAGACGUGAACCCCAAGUCUCCUUUACCUUAUAUGAUAGAACAGAAAUAAUGCAAGGGGAGCCAUGUACUAGAUAAGAACAGGUGUGUAUUAGCAUUCAUCAUUCCAUGGCUAAUGUGUGGUCCAGCCAUGAUUGAGCACAGGCCCCACCAUUCACCUCACGGGAUUCUUCUUUCUUCAUCGUCAGUAUAGAAGAGGAGUAGUUGGUUUGGACGUGUCCUCUCCCCUCUCCUCUCACACCCCUUGCAAAAAAGUUAGGCGCAUAAUUGUUGGGCAGCAGGGCCUAUUGGCGGUUGCUUUAGCAUUGAGAACACUGUGUAUUCGCAUCCAUAUCUCACUGGACAUGCCGAUCCUCGAGAAAAUAUGCUUUACUACACUACAGAUGUAUGUCUCAGAGUAUAUAUACACAAAAAAUAGUGGAAGAUGAUUGCAUUACGCCAUGGGUCCUAAUCACCUUUGUAUCCCCGGGUCCCUUUCCAAAUCAUGGCCUCCCAAGUCCCAAGUGUGAGCUAAUCCAAGCCAGAACAAAUAUUCCAGCGUCCUGCCUCCCGAAGACUCCUGAUGGCUGAUGCUGCUCUUUGCCGUCAAAUUAAAGCUUAAUCUGCACUAUUGAUUUGGACACCCACAUCCCAGGGCCACAUAAACCCGUCACAUGAAAUUCGUUAUCUGUUCAUUCACUUAUAUGCAUAUAUGCAGCCUCCCUUUUGCCUACCAACUUGGCCGGAAAUAUUCUUGCUUGGCAGCCGGGAAUAGGAUAGAUAAGCGUGUUUUUCCUUGGCCGCUGAUCUGCCCCGGGAGCACACGGAAACCAGCUUAGAAUAUCCUCGUCGCAACUUGUACUAGUAGCACGGAAGGAACCUUCCUGCAGCCUGGAUUUUGUCCAUCCUGCCCCUGUAAAAAAAAGAGCAUUGGAACAACAAAGACAGGCGGGUCAAAACUCACAAAAGCUGCCGCCUUUUGGCUUUGGUUGCCAGCUUGCAAAUCCACCACAGCCAGAAUCGUGUAGUACUCCACUGAUCAGGACCGAUCUGCCUACCUGCUUAUCGAUAAGAGCCGUGGGAACUGGACUGAAUUUUGCCGGCUCUCCCUCUUUUCACCGACCUCUGAUGGUGAUCUUCCUCUGCUAACACGCAGUACAUGGUGUUUGCGUGCUCCGACUCCCGUGUGUGCCCGUCGGUGACCCUGGGUCUGCAGCCCGGUGAGGCCUUCACCGUCCGCAACAUCGCCGCCAUGGUCCCAGCCUACGACAAGGUACGCGUCCACACUGACCGACGCAUUGGACGUCUAAUUUUUUCAAGCCCGGCCGCCGUGGAACAUUGACGGACGACUAACAUGGUUGCCUUUCGUUUUUGUCACCUGCAGACCAAGUACACCGGCAUUGGGUCUGCCAUUGAGUACGCCGUGUGCGCCCUCAAGGUGCAGGUCCUCGUCGUCAUUGGCCACAGCUGCUGUGGUGGCAUCAGGGCGCUCCUCUCCCUCCAGGAUGGCGCACCUGACACCUUGUAAGUCAUCAUCCCUAGAAUAUAUACAAAUUUCAUUUAGGUUAAGAAACAAGACUCGUGUGCCUCGAUCGAUCUCGUGUCAUGAAUUUGAUCCUAGCAUUGUUGUCCGUUUGUUUGGUGGUGUAUGUACGCAGCCACUUCGUUGAGGACUGGGUCAGGAUCGGCUUCCCUGCCAAGAUCAAGGUGAAGAAAGAGCACGCUUCGGUGCCGUUCGAUGACCAGUGUUCCAUCCUGGAGAAGGUACGUACACCGUACACGCACGAGCUGUUAGUUAUUGGAUGAAUAAUGGAUUGGUUUUGCUCACCAAAGGACCUUGUAUUUUCUGAAUAUUUGUGCAGGAGGCCGUGAACGUGUCCCUCGACAACCUCAAGACGUACCCCUUCGUCAAGGAAGGGCUGGCCAACGGGACCCUCAGGCUGGUCGGCGGCCACUACAACUUCGUGUCAGGGGAGUUCGACACAUGGGAAAUUAAGAGCUAAGCUGCCCGGCCGGCCGCUUAACAACUCCUACCAUCAUCAUAAAUAUAUAUACUACAUACCUACCGAUAUGCACCCGAUCGAUGUGAAUGCGUGGAGUAUUACUCAUGUUUUCUGCAUGCAGCGACAUAUAUAUAUAUAUACCGGAUCGCCCAAUGUGAAUGUAAUAAGUAAUAGCAUUUUCUACCGCUUUUAUUUCUAACGCCGAGCUUUCAUGUACUAUAUAAUGUGUUAUAUGAUGAGUAAUUUGACCGCCCUGUGGUCAAAAGACAUCAGCUAUAAUCCUUUUUUCGCAAUAUUUAUUAUGAAGCGUUUACCUCUUGUACUGCCUUUACUGUUCAUCUUUUCUGUCUCUCUAUGAAAUGCUGAUAUAUGACACCAUUUAUGUGAG
rnacentral:lncRNA from 1 species